UACGUAGGGGGCUAGCGUUGUCCGGAAUCAUUGGGCGUAAAGCGCGCGUAGGCGGUCAGGUAAGUCCGGUGUGAAAGUCAAAGGCUCAACCUUUGAAUGCCGCUGGAUACUGCUUGACUUGAGUCCGGAAGGGGCGAGUGGAAUUCCUGGUGUAGCGGUGAAAUGCGCAGAUAUCAGGAGGAACACCUAUUGCGAAGGCAGCUCGCUGGGACGUUACUGACGCUGAGACGCGAAAGCGUGGGGAGCGAACAGG
rnacentral:rRNA from 1 species